CCUACGGGUGGCAGCAGUGGGGAAUAUUGCACAAUGGGGGGAACCCUGAUGCAGCAAUGCCGCGUGGGUGAAGAAGCACUCCGGUGCGUAAAGCCCUGUCAGCAGGGAAGAAAAUGACAGUACCUGGACAAGAAGCCCCGGCUAACUACGUGCCAGCAGCCGCGGUAAUACGUAGGGGGCAAGCGUUAUCCGGAUUUACUGGGUGUAAAGGGAGCGCAGGCGGCGUGGCAAGUCAGAUGUGAAAACCCGGGGCCCAACCCCGGGAGUGCAUUUGAAACUGUAUGGCUGGAGUGCAGGAGAGGUAAGUGGAAUUCCUAGUGUAGCGGUGAAAUGCGUAGAUAUUAGGAGGAACACCAGUGGCGAAGGCGGCCUGCUGGACAAUGACUGACGUUGAGGCUCGAAAGCGUGGGGAGCAAACAGGAUUAGAUACCCUGGUAGUC
rnacentral:rRNA from 1 species